UCAAGACAUACGCCCUUUCAGCUUUAAGAAAAGUACUAUUUAAAGGUAAAAGGGCGCACAAAAAAAUUGUAGUUUUGAUACCAAAUGUUAAAUAAUAGUUUCACAAGACAAGUUAUACUAAAAUAACAGCCUCAUAUACAAAGUUUGAUAUAAACAAAUAGAAAAUAAAUCAAUCAAAAACAAAUUACGUAAAAAUUAAAUAAUUAAUUUGAAGAAAAA